ensembl:lncRNA
CUAGCCGUUCAAAAGACUUCAUGACUACAGAGGUCAGGGCGACGGGCCUGUAGUCAUUGAGUCCUGUGAUCCUGGGCUUCUUGGGGACAGGGAUGAUGGUGGAGGCCUUGAAGCAGGCUGGUACGUGGCAGGUCUCCAGGGAGGUGUUGAAGAUGUCAGUGAACACCGGAGACAGCUGGUCAGCACAAUGCUUCAGGGAGUGAGGGGAGACGGAGUCCGGGCCGGCUGCCUUACGGGGAUUUAGUCUUCUAAAGAGCCGGUUAACGUCUCUCUCCAGAAUAGAGAGGGUCGUUGCUAUGGGGUGUUAUAAAAGUCACAGUAUAUUAGGUCAAAAAAUAAACGUAGUAUGUUAUGUCAAAAAUAUUUUUUAGUCAUAGUAUGUUGAAAAAAAAGAAAAAAGUAAAUAUAUUAAAAAUGUAAAAUAUUUUUUCAUGACAUAAAAUCACACACAAGUUGGUAGUAAUGGGACGUAUUUUACAAAAGACAAAAUGUGAAGCAUGUAUUUCUAUACUCAUGAUCUACAUUUAACAUGUCAAGUCACUGUGAAACGUGCAAUAUUUCACCUUUUUAAUUGUUUUUAUUUGAGUAAAUGAAGACUGCAUGACUUUAUUUUCUGUUGAUGUUUUACACGUGAAGCGAUGAUUUCAUUUCCUUACACGCUGGAUUACUUUCUGCUCUCUGAUCAGUCGGCGGGUUCAGUGUCCCGAAGCGACUUUGUUCUGCACUGGGAAACAUCUGGAGGAGUUCAGCUCAUUGAAGAAGUAUUUCUGUGGAGGACGUGGCAGGUUGAGCAGACUUUUAUUCACUAACGUACACGUGAUCAUCGCUGAGGCGGAUUUAUUCUCACACUAAGAGAUCUGAUUUAAUAGCAACAGCAAUUAUGGUAAAAAGGUAUAAAUUAAUUGACAUCACAGGAUUAUACACAGCUGUUUUAUGUACAUUAAAUACAAUAUUUAGCAGUUACAAACUGUACAUACUUAAAAUAGGUCACUGUUAGUAAAAUAAAAAUAAAAUUCCCUAAAGUGUCUGUUGUCAACGGUCUCAAGAUCCCUUCUGAUAUUUGAUUGAAACGUGGGACUCUCGGGCCACGACGUCGUGGAUUAGCACUGAUGCUAACGUGGAGGUCAGCUCCUGAUUGAUGCCGUCCAUUUUUUACUUUGGAGACGAAAAUACGCCUCAGUUGUGCAGCUCUUCAAGUUCUCAAAACUAAAAUCCACUUUUUUCCCCUAAAAAGUGGAUUUUAGUUUUAAGUUAAACGGUCAUGAACAGAAAAGAAUCAGCAAUAUUAAAGCAUGAAAAGCCCAACAUGCAUCUUAUUGCCUUUUCCAUUUCAUAGAAAAAUAAUUACAGAAUUCAGUGAGAAUAAUCAUCAUCACAGCCCACCUUUGGUCUAUAAAAGAAAGCGAUUUCAAUGCCACUGUCACAAUAGAUCAGCAGCAUUUAUUUAGGAACUUUCAGUGGUGAUGUCUCCUUCUAAUAAACAGUUAACAGGAAAUAAUCAUUUGACUUCACCUUCAAAUUAGCAGUCAUUUUGAUAGCAGGUACAUUCAUAGAUCUUUAGUUAAGUUGAGAGAACAUUGUGACAAGAGGGUGUAUUUAUUCCCAAUGUGGCGACUCCACAGACUAACGUGUGUCAGUUUAAGGCAAGCUGGGCUUUGAUAGCUGGAGGCGUGUUAGAUUGUUGUUUCCCAGACUAUCGUUCUAUUUCACUUUUAGGAGUUCUAUUCGUGCAAAACAAGCAUUCUGGGAGGAUCAAGCGGUUGACGAGCGGUUGGUGUGAAAACGUUCUCUCCGUGCGUUACUGACUCUUUGUGCAGCUGAAAGGCAUCAAUACGAAAAAUGUGCAAAUAAUCGGCUUCUGCCUGCAGAACAAACGCGUCUCUCUCGUCUGCAUGUUUCUGAAAGCGCCUUUUUGUUCAUUUUGACCUCCGCUGAGGUGCAGUUACAGCUGACGGCCACACGAGGGCAGCAGCUGCGCACUAAGGCCAGAAUUAGUCACUUUAAAAAAUAAAAUUUACUCAAUAAGAUUUUACGUCUGCUGGUUUUAAAAUAAUGUCAACCGUAAGUCUGCUGAGAACCAAAGACGAGCAGAGCACCGCGCGUGUGUGUGCGUGCGUGUGCGUGUGUGUGUGUGUGUGUGUGCGCGUGCGUGUGCGUGUGUGUGUGUGUGUUAGGGUUUCCUCCAGGUCAGAGGGGGGAUGGCGGCGGCGGCGGCGUCACAGAGCGAGCGGCUCGUCUCCGUCUCAGCAGGGACGGCCGGUUGUUGUUUCUUCUUCUUCUUCUUUUUCUUCUUCUGCCUCUCCUCGCCGUCGGAGUCGUCCGCCGUCAGCGAAGGCGACAUCCUGCUCAACGCGAAUUAAUGUCAAUAAAAAAAGAUCGAGUGUCAAA